ACGAACGCUGGCGGCGUGCUUAACACCUGCCAGUCGCACGGAAAGGCCCUGCUUUUGUGGGGUGCUCGAGUGGCGAACGGGUGAGUAACACGUGAGUAACCUGCCCUUGACUUUGGGAUAACUUCAGGAAACUGGGGCUAAUACCGGAUAGGAGCUCCUGCUGCAUGGUGGGGGUUGGAAAGUUUCGGCGGUUGGGGAUGGACUCGCGGCUUAUCAGCUUGUUGGUGGGGUAGUGGCUUACCAAGGCUUUGACGGGUAGCCGGCCUGAGAGGGUGACCGGCCACAUUGGGACUGAGAUACGGCCCAGACUCCUACGGGAGGCAGCAGUGGGGAAUAUUGCACAAUGGGCGGAAGCCUGAUGCAGCAACGCCGCGUGCGGGAUGACGGCCUUCGGGUUGUAAACCGCCUUCGCCUGUGACGAAGCGUGAGUGACGGUAAUGGGUAAAGAAGCACCGGCUAACUACGUG
rnacentral:rRNA from 1 species